ensembl:lncRNA
AUAGAACUCUGGGAGGAGUUUGGCAGAACAAUCAGAUCUGGAGUCAGGACUGCCACCCAAACAGCCAGAACAGAAGGUACCAGUGAUGUCCAUCUCAACAAACUACCUGAGCCCCAAAGCGUCCAUUUUCAGAGGCACAGAGAGCAGGGGAUUAACACGGGAAGACAGCAAUUCACUGAAGAGUGCUUCCAGUGAGGACCAGUUCUCAGGGAUGAGGGCAGCAGGAACAAAGGAGCUGCCAGGAGCCACCCCCACUGAAAACAACUCCAGAAAUAGAGAAAACUCAGCAAGGACAAGAAGGGCAGACAGAGAGAGGCAGAGGUGGACAGGAAGGAACUUCCAAAAUGGACAAAGAACAGGGGUUCCUUGUAACAGUGAACGACGGAAGAGAUCAAAGUGGGAAAGCUGGCUCCAUACCGGGGCAAGUUCAAGCAGAGGGGAAGAGUCCUACCUAGCAAUGACACCAAGUCCCUGAAAGUCGGUUGUCCAGGGAAGCAGAAUCCUUGUCCCUUUGGUUACCUGAGUUUCUCUGAAGACUUUCACCUCAAGUCUGGGCUUUGGGAGCAUGUCUCAAAGUAGCCCUUGCUCAGAUCUCCAGCCUUCCACCUUUGUCAGGACCCGACUCCCAGCUCCCACUCCUACACAACUGAAAAAACACCGAAAGAGUUUUCAGUGAUACAGGUGUGAUAGCUGCAUUUGCUUUCCUCCCUGACUGUUUCUAAUGUGUGUGUCUUCUACCUAACCACUUAUUAUAAAAGCAUUCACUGAUCCCUCAAAGAACUUGCAGGUUUUGCUCCACAAAACAAAGCACUCAGGAAUAAUUCCUCAGUGAUUAGAACUGAAGGAUCAUGUUUCCAGUAGUAGGAAUUAGAGGGCAGAAAGACAGAUUUCUAGGGCCCCAAGAAGGAGUUACAGAUGUCAGACAGCAGAGGCUCAAUCUGAGUGCUCCGUGGUAGAAGUAGCCUGGGUAGAUAGAAAGCAGCUUUCAGAACUAUUAUGGGAGCUGCCACUUGUUUAGCAAAAGCUGCCUAAACCUUUCUUUCCAGUUUGAACUAUCUUUCCCAAAGCAACAGAUUAUGUUUUGCUACCAUGCCCUUUCUUCAAAACAUGCAUGAGGACUUCCCUGGUGGUCCAGUGGUUGGGAAUCCACCUGCCAAUGCAGGGGACACAGGUUCGAUUCCUGGUCCAGGAAGAUUCCACAUGUCACAGGGCAACUAAGCCCACGAGCCACAGUGACUGAGCCUGAGGUCUGGAGCUCACGUGCCGCCGCUACUGCCUAGAGCCUGUGCUCCACAAGAGAAGCCGCCGUGAAAAGAAGCCCACGCCCCACAGCUAGAGAGCAGCCCCCACUCACCUCAGCUAGAGGAAGCCUGAGCGCAGCAACAAAGACCUGCCACACCAAAAG